CUUCCUGUUUCCAUCCCAACUGCCUCAGUCAGUGAGACGCGCCGUUUUAACUAACACGCACAGGGUUAUUAGCGUAAGAAACAUUAAUUUGAUUUAAUGAACUAACACAUACGAGCGUGAUCGUUGCGAGGCCGAAGGAAUUAGUCGUGUUCGUUGGUAAGUUUCAUUAUGGCGCCUAGAAAACGCACGCAAAAUGCCAAAACCAAGAAGAAUCCCAAAACCCCCAAACUGGAAGCUUUUCUGCUGGAUUUCGACGACGAAGUUCAUACCAUUGUAGAAAGACUGAAGGAUAAGACGAACAAUCUCCUGAAAGAUGCGGAUAAUCUUUAUAAAACGGCUCUGAUCAAGCUUCCCAUGGCGGUGAGGAAGAUGAACUGGAUCGAGUAUUGCA